AUUAACGCUGGCGGCAGGCCUAACACAUGCAAGUCGAACGGUAACAGGAAGCAGCUUGCUGCUUUGCUGACGAGUGGCGGACGGGUGAGUAAUGUCUGGGAAACUGCCUGAUGGAGGGGGAUAACUACUGGAAACGGUAGCUAAUACCGCAUAAUGUCGCAAGACCAAAGAGGGGGACCUUCGGGCCUCUUGCCAUCGGAUGUGCCCAGAUGGGAUUAGCUAGUAGGUGGGGUAAAGGCUCACCUAGGCGACGAUCCCUAGCUGGUCUGAGAGGAUGACCAGCCACACUGGAACUGAGACACGGUCCAGACUCCUACGGGAGGCAGCAGUGGGGAAUAUUGCACAAUGGGCGCAAGCCUGAUGCAGCCAUGCCGCGUGUAUGAAGAAGGCCUUCGGGUUGUAAAGUACUUUCAGCGGGGAGGAAGGGAGUAAAGUUAAUACCUUUGCUCAUUGACGUUACCCGCAGAAGAAGCACCGGCUAACUCCGUGCCAGCAGCCGCGGUAAUACGGAGGGUGCAAGCGUUAAUCGGAAUUACUGGGCGUAAAGCGCACGCAGGCGGUUUGUUAAGUCAGAUGUGAAAUCCCCGGGCUCAACCUGGGAACUGCAUCUGAUACUGGCAAGCUUGAGUCUCGUAGAGGGGGGUAGAAUUCCAGGUGUAGCGGUGAAAUGCGUAGAGAUCUGGAGGAAUACCGGUGGCGAAGGCGGCCCCCUGGACGAAGACUGACGCUCAGGUGCGAAAGCGUGGGGAGCAAACAGGAUUAGAUACCCUGGUAGUCCACGCCGUAAACGAUGUCGACUUGGAGGUUGUGCCCUUGAGGCGUGGCUUCCGGAGCUAACGCGUUAAGUCGACCGCCUGGGGAGUACGGCCGCAAGGUUAAAACUCAAAUGAAUUGACGGGGGCCCGCACAAGCGGUGGAGCAUGUGGUUUAAUUCGAUGCAACGCGAAGAACCUUACCUGGUCUUGACAUCCACGGAAGUUUUCAGAGAUGAGAAUGUGCCUUCGGGAACCGUGAGACAGGUGCUGCAUGGCUGUCGUCAGCUCGUGUUGUGAAAUGUUGGGUUAAGUCCCGCAACGAGCGCAACCCUUAUCCUUUGUUGCCAGCGGUCCGGCCGGGAACUCAAAGGAGACUGCCAGUGAUAAACUGGAGGAAGGUGGGGAUGACGUCAAGUCGUCAUGGCCCUUACGACCAGGGCUACACACGUGCUACAAUGGCGCAUACAAAGAGAAGCGACCUCGCGAGAGCAAGCGGACCUCAUAAAGUGCGUCGUAGUCCGGAUUGGAGUCUGCAACUCGACUCCAUGAAGUCGGAAUCGCUAGUAAUCGUGGAUCAGAAUGCCACGGUGAAUACGUUCCCGGGCCU
rnacentral:rRNA from 1 species